rnacentral:lncRNA from 1 species
AUGGGAGAGAGGAGGCUGUGUCACUAUCCCACCUUGCUUGCUAACAGGAUACAAAUCCGUGAGAACAUGAAAACAAGUACAAAAGGUGGAUUCCUCACCGACUGGGAAGUCCUGGUGGUGCUCAAUUACCGAGCAAGCGUCAUCACCGGCCCUGUAGGUAGCACAGUUUUUCCAAGUGUACCCCCACCCUGGGGCCCCUGCCUUAGCCACAGUGACAGCUGCUACUCUAUCUGCUCAUGUUCUUUGCAGUCCUCUUUACAUCGUAGUAGCAAUUAAUCCCUAGUUACUAACUAAUAAUUCCCUGUAAUCAAUUUACUCUGCAUGAAUUCCUGUGUUGUUUUUGUCUCCAAGCUGGACCCUGAAUGAUAUAGUAAUUUUUUUAGAGAUUUAUUUAAUAAAAAAUAAAGUAUAUGCUAUUACCUCAAAUUAUGCCAACAUCAAUCUUUGAAUUUUGUAAAGUCUUAAAAGGUCUUAUCAUCUUGAGACUUUUUUCUUUUUUAAAACGCCAAUAUAUAUAUAUGUAUGUAUAUAUAGAGAAGUCUAAAAAGUAAAAGUAUGUUUCUUCGGUUUCUAGUUUUAUACAUGGGGAUUUUUUUAAAAAAUAGGAUUGUUUAAAAAAAAUGGGUAGAUUUAUUUUAUGAGCAAGUAGAGAAACUGAAUUUAAUAAAUACCCAAGUCUCUGGAGUCCAAUUUACUUAAUAACAGAGGAUAAAAAUUGAUUUAUAAAAAUGCCUUCAUGUAGAUUACUACACGCUCCUUACACAGGUUGCACACAUGUAUAAGUCAUCAGAGCCACAUACACACAGUGAUAGCAGCUUAAGCAGGACUAGGCAUGGGUGCUUUCUAGUUAGAAUAUAGCAUUUCACAGACCACUUGAAUCUUAUGGAAUACUAUAUGGCUUAAUGUAAAACAUGCACUAACUCUUCACAGAAUUAUGAUUUUUGUCCUCAAAUUAAAAGAAUUAAAUUGCAAACAUAUAUCCUUAUGAAUCCUCUCCCUUAACUUUCAAAAGCUAAAUAUAAUACUCAAUACUUGUCAACACUGUCUUU